CCUACGGGAGGCAGCAGUAAGGAAUAUUGGUCAAUGGGCGGAAGCCUGAACCAGCCAUGCCGCGUGCAGGAAGACGGCCCUAUGGGUUGUAAACUGCUUUUGUACCGGAAUAAACCCCCGAACGUGUUCGGGGCUGAAUGUACGGUAAGAAUAAGGAUCGGCUAACUCCGUGCCAGCAGCCGCGGUAAUACGGAGGAUCCGAGCGUUAUCCGGAUUUAUUGGGUUUAAAGGGUGCGUAGGCGGCCUGUUAAGUCAGGGGUGAAAGACGGUAGCUCAACUAUCGCAGUGCCUUUGAUACUGACGGGCUUGAAUGUACUUGAGGUAGGCGGAAUGUGACAAGUAGCGGUGAAAUGCAUAGAUAUGUCACAGAACACCAAUUGCGAAGGCAGCUUACUAAGGUAUGAUUGACGCUGAGGCACGAAAGCGUGGGGAUCAAACAGGAUUAGAUACCCUGGUAGUCCACGCCCUAAACGAUGAAUACUCGAUGUUGGCGAUAUACGGCCAGCGUCUAAGCGAAAGCGUUAAAGUAUUCCCUACCUCGGGUAGGUACGCCCGCCGAACGGGUAGGUAAACGUUAAAACGUUAAGUAAGUUAGUACGGCGUGAGACGUGCCGACGGACGACGACGAGGGAGGUUAGG
rnacentral:rRNA from 1 species